UACGUAGGGGGCAAGCGUUGUCCGGAUUUAUUGGGCGUAAAGAGCGUGUAGGCGGCCAGGUAGGUCUGGUGUGAAAACUCGAGGCUUAACCUCGAGAUGUCAUCGGAAACCAUCUGGCUAGAGUCCGGAAGAGGAGAGUGGAAUUCCUGGUGUAGCGGUGAAAUGCGCAGAUAUCAGGAAGAACACCAGUGGCGAAGGCGGCUAACUGGUCCAGUACUGACGCUGAGGUAGCGAAAGCGUGGGGAGCAAACAGG
rnacentral:rRNA from 1 species